UUUUAAUUUUUUUUUUUUUCUCUGUCAGGACGAACGCUGGCGGCGUGCCUAAUACAUGCAAGUCGAGCGGACAGAUGGGAGCUUGCUCCCUGAUGUUAGCGGCGGACGGGUGAGUAACACGUGGGUAACCUGCCUGUAAGACUGGGAUAACUCCGGGAAACCGGGGCUAAUACCGGAUGCUUGUUUGAACCGCAUGGUUCAAACAUAAAAGGUGGCUUCGGCUACCACUUACAGAUGGACCCGCGGCGCAUUAGCUAGUUGGUGAGGUAAUGGCUCACCAAGGCAACGAUGCGUAGCCGACCUGAGAGGGUGAUCGGCCACACUGGGACUGAGACACGGCCCAGACUCCUACGGGAGGCAGCAGUAGGGAAUCUUCCGCAAUGGACGAAAGUCUGACGGAGCAACGCCGCGUGAGUGAUGAAGGUUUUCGGAUCGUAAAGCUCUGUUGUUAGGGAAGAACAAGUACCGUUCGAAUAGGGCGGUACCUUGACGGUACCUAACCAGAAAGCCACGGCUAACUACGUGCCAGCAGCCGCGGUAAUACGUAGGUGGCAAGCGUUGUCCGGAAUUAUUGGGCGUAAAGGGCUCGCAGGCGGUUUCUUAAGUCUGAUGUGAAAGCCCCCGGCUCAACCGGGGAGGGUCAUUGGAAACUGGGGAACUUGAGUGCAGAAGAGGAGAGUGGAAUUCCACGUGUAGCGGUGAAAUGCGUAGAGAUGUGGAGGAACACCAGUGGCGAAGGCGACUCUCUGGUCUGUAACUGACGCUGAGGAGCGAAAGCGUGGGGAGCGAACAGGAUUAGAUACCCUGGUAGUCCACGCCGUAAACGAUGAGUGCUAAGUGUUAGGGGGUUUCCGCCCCUUAGUGCUGCAGCUAACGCAUUAAGCACUCCGCUGGAGACUGACGU
rnacentral:rRNA from 1 species